AAGCUCUAAUUGUCCAACCGAUAGCUGUCCCCCUUUUUUUUGUUCUUGUUUGAAGUUGUGUGUGAGUGUGUUGGGAACCAAAGAAAGGGCCGAGAGUGGGGAGUGGAGAAUGCUUCUUUUGUUUAUUUCCUCUUUUGAGGGAGAGAGCCGAGAGUUAGAGUGAGGGAGAUUGAGUGCCUUUUUUUUCUUCUUGUCUGUUCUGUUUUUUAGCCCCGAGAGAGCCGAGAGAGUGAGUAUUAGGAGAGAAGGAGAGGAGUUUGUGUGUUG
rnacentral:lncRNA from 1 species